GACCGAGCAACGCCGCGUGAGCGAUGAAGGCCUUCGGGUCGUAAAGCUCUGUUGUUAGAGAAGAACAAGUACGAGAGUAACUGCUCGUACCUUGACGGUACCUAACCAGAAAGCCACGGCUAACUACGUGCCAGCAGCCGCGGUAAUACGUAGGUGGCAAGCGUUAUCCGGAAUUAUUGGGCGUAAAGCGCGCGCAGGCGGUCUCUUAAGUCUGAUGUGAAAGCCCACGGCUCAACCGUGGAGGGUCAUUGGAAACUGGGAGACUUGAGUGCAGGAGAGAAAAGUGGAAUUCCACGUGUAGCGGUGAAAUGCGUAGAGAUGUGGAGGAACACCAGUGGCGAAGGCGGCUUUUUGGCCUGUAACUGACGCUGAGGCGCGAAAGCGUGGGGAGCAAACAGGAUUAGAUACCCUGGUAGUCCACGCCGUAAACGAUGAGUGCUAGGUGUUGGGGGGUUCCACCCUCAGUGCUGAAGUUAACACAUUAAGCACUCCGCCUGGGGAGUACGACCGCAAGGUUGAAACUCAAAGGAAUUGACGGGGGCCCGCACAAGCAGUGGAGCAUGUGGUUUAAUUCGAAGCAACGCGAAGAACCUUACCAGGUCUUGACAUCCUCUGACCACUCUAGAGAUAGAGCUUUCCCCUUCGGGGGACAGAGUGACAGGUGGUGCAUGGUUGUCGUCAGCUCGUGUCGUGAGAUGUUGGGUUAAGUCCCGCAACGAGCGCAACCCUUGACCUUAGUUGCCAGCAUUCAGUUGGGCACUCUAAGGUGACUGCCGGUGACAAACCGGAGGAAGGUGGGGAUGACGUCAAAUCAUCAUGCCCCUUAUGACCUGGGCUACACACGUGCUACAAUGGAUGGUACAAAGGGUUGCGAAGCCGCGAGGCCCAAGCCAAUCCCAAAAAGCCAUUCUCAG
rnacentral:rRNA from 1 species